AACAGCACGCAGCUGUGCAUAGCGAACUAUUCUUUCGCCUUUUACUAAAUAAUACCAUGUGCCGCUGCAACAAGCAGCAUACGCCUAUUUUUGCAGGGCUCCUCUUUUUUGUGAGGAGG